GACGGGCCCCGCACAAGCAGCGGAGCGUGUGGUUUAAUUCGAUGUUACACGAAGAACCUUACCAGGGUUUGACAUGCAAGUGGUAGGAAGCCGAAAGGUGACCGACCCUUCGGGGAGCUUGCACAGGUGCUGCAUGGCUGUCGUCAGCUCGUGUCGUGAGAUGUUCGGUUAAGUCCGCUAACGAGCGCAACCCUCGCUGUGUGUUAUAUGUGUCACACGGGACUGCCGGUCUUAAGCCGGAGGAAGGUGGGGAUGAUGUCAAGUCAGCAUGGCCUUUAUAUCCUGGGCUACACACACGCUACAAUGGCCAACACAAUAGGUUGCUAAGCCGCGAGGUGGCGCCAAUCCAUAAAGUUGGUCUCAGUUCAGAUUGUAGGCUGCAACCCGCCUGCAUGAAGAUGGAGUUGCUAGUAACCGCAGGUCAGCUAUACUGCGGUGAAUACGUUCCCGGGGCUU
rnacentral:rRNA from 1 species